rnacentral:misc_RNA from 1 species
GCAAACUUGGUCAUUUAGAGGAAGUAAAAGUCGUAACAAGGUUUCCGUAGGUGAACCUGCGGAAGGAUCAUUAUCGUAGGGCUUCUGCCCUGUCGAGAUAGCGUCCUUGCCUAUUUUUUGGAGUACCUUUUCGUUUCCUCAGCAGGCUUGCCGGGACCCUUUAAACUCUUUGUAAAUACAGCAUCUGUCUGAAUAAACAAACAAAAAAUCAAAACUUUCAACAAUGGAUCUCUUGGUUCUGGCAUCGAUGAAGAACGCAGC